UACGUAGGGUGCAAGCGUUACUCGGAAUUACUGGGCGUAAAGCGUGUGUAGGUGGUUUGUUAAGUCUGUUGUGAAAGCCCCGGGCUCAACCUGGGAAUGGCAAUGGAUACUGGCAAGCUAGAGUGCGGUAGAGGGUAGUGGAAUUCCCGGUGUAGCGGUGAAAUGCGUAGAGAUCGGGAGGAACACCAGUGGCGAAGGCGGCUACCUGGACCAUAACUGACGCUGAGGCACGAAAGCUAGGGGAGCAAACAGG
rnacentral:rRNA from 1 species